ACGCUCGACACCUGGAGGCAGCAGUGGGGAAUAUUGCACAAUGGGGGAAACCCUGAUGCAGCGACGCCGCGUGAGCGAAGAAGUAUUUCGGUAUGUAAAGCUCUAUCAGCAGGGAAGAAAGUGACGGUACCUGACUAAGAAGCACCGGCUAAAUACGUGCCAUCAGCCGCGGUAAUCUGAGCGGGCUGGCAAGGC
rnacentral:rRNA from 1 species